GCGCCCGUGGCGGAAUUGGCAGACGCGCUGGAUUUAGGUUCCAGUGUCUUCGGACGUGGGGGUUCAAGUCCCCCCGGGCGCA
rnacentral:tRNA from 1 species